rnacentral:rRNA from 1 species
AACGAACGCUGUCGGCAUGCUUAACACAUGCAAGUCGAACGAGACCUUCGGGUCUAGUGGCGCACGGGUGCGUAACGCGUGGGAAUCUGCCCUUUGCUACGGAAUAACUCAGAGAAAUUUGUGCUAAUACCGUAUAAUGUCGAAAGACCGAAGAUUUAUCGGCAAAGGAUGAGCCCGCGUAGGAUUAGCUAGUUGGUGAGGUAAAGGCUCACCAAGGCGACGAUCCUUAGCUGGUCUGAGAGGAUGAUCAGCCACACUGGGACUGAGACACGGCCCAGACUCCUACGGGAGGCAGCAGUGGGGAAUAUUGGACAAUGGGCGAAAGCCUGAUCCAGCAAUGCCGCGUGAGUGACGAAGGCCUUAGGGUUGUAAAGCUCUUUUACCAGGGAUGAUAAUGACAGUACCUGGAGAAUAAGCUCCGGCUAACUCCGUGCCAGCCGCCGCCGUAA